GACGGAGGAUGCAAGCGUUAUCCGGAAUUAUUGGGCGUAAAGCGUCCGCAGGUGGCUGUUCAAGUCUGCUGUCAAAGCGCAGAGCUUAACUCUGUACAGGCGGUGGAAACUGAAGAGCUAGAGCAUGGUAGGGGUAGAGGGAAUUCCCGGUGUAGCGGUGAAAUGCGUAGAUAUCGGGAAGAACACCAGUGGCGAAGGCGGCACUCUGGGCCAGUACCGACACUGAGGAGCGAAAGCGUGGGGAGCGAACAGG
rnacentral:rRNA from 1 species